UUCACCAUGUUGACCAGGAUGGUCUCGAUCUCUUGACCUCAUGAUCUACCUGCCUCGGCCUCCCAAAGUGCUGGGAUUACAGGCGUGAGCCACCGCGCCCGGCCUCUUUUUAGUUUUUCUAUUUCUCUAGACUUCCCUUCCAGAUGUCUUAUGAUGCUGUGUUAUGACUGUUUUUUCUCUGAAUUUCUUGAAAUCUGAUUCCUAAAGCAAACUUCAGGCUAUGCUUACUCUUUCCUGCUCUUGCUAUUACAAACUAACAACAUGUGGCAGCUUUCUACAGCCCAAUCUCUUUCACUUCACUAAACAUUUAGGCCUCAAGUGUCAGUCCCCCCUAGAUUCUUUCUCUUUCUCAGGAACAAAAUAAUCAAAAAGACAAUAAAGAAUCCGUUACUAUUUUAGCUGAAGGAGUGCUUUUGCAGAUGCUGUGGGAUAGGCUUUGUGUCCUUCUUUGGUUGGUGUAUGGCAGAUGCACCUGACAACAAUAACAGCAUAUCCUGAGAAUGACCCUGUAUUCUAAGAAGAAUAUGUGUUCAGAGCUCUGAGCUAAGGAAUCUUGGAGUGGCCAACCUGAAGAUUGAGGUCUUAUCUAUGAGGAACAUCUGAACCCUCAGUUCAUCCCAUGGAAUACACACCAUAUACUGGAUUGAGGCCCUUUGGGCCUAAAUGAAGGCUGCCAGGUAGAGGUUGCUAAGGGGAAAGUGCUAAGUGAAAAUGCUAUAUAAACUUCAUACUUUUUACAGGUGAUUGCAGUUCUUUUGUCCAGCCUGCCACUAUUGGACCGCCCUGCAUCAACUAUUUAGCAGAACAGCAUCUCAGCUGCUGCAUGUGACGCCUAUCAACCAGCCAAUCAUGAACGCCCAAUAAUCCUAAACACAUGGGUGAUAACAGGGCCCAGAGAUGGAGUCUCACUCUGUCGCCCAGUCUGGAGUGUAAUAGUGCAAUCUCGGCUCACUGCAACCUCUGCCUCCUGGGUUCUAGCAAUUCUCCUGCCUUAGCCUCCCGAGUAGCUGGGACUACAGACACACACCACCAAGCCUAGGUAAUUUUUGUAUUUUACUAGAGAUGGGUUUUCACCAUGUUAGCCAUGCUAGGGACAAGCUGACCCACCCCGACACACACUCUAAUUGCUCUGUAGCUGCAUUCCUAAACUCCUAUCUAGGUGCUACAAUGAAGCAAAACCUGAUUACAGUUAUCUGGUCAGCUCAGGGGAAGACAGGGAAAAUAAAUGUUUGUUAUCCAUACUUGUAAAUUCCUGUUAUACACGUACCUGUAAAAUCCUGUUUUUUUAAAAAACUGCCACCAGAAAAGUCACAGGAUGAUGCAUUGUAAGUCCGUCAAAAGUUAACCAACUAUCUUUGUGCCUGUUACAAGCUGAUUAUCUCAGUUCUGAAACUCCCUUAUGCCCCUCUUACCCUAUGUAAACCCCACGUUUUAUAAGCUUGGGGCUGCUGCCUCUGCUUGUUACAGGGAAGCCCAACAGGUUAAUAAAACUGGCUUGCCUAACUUUGGGUCUACUCUCCUUCUCUCAGUGAACCUUACAGGUCAGGCUGGUGUUGAACUCCUAAUCUCAAGCAGUCCAACCAUCUUGCCCUCCCAAAGUGCUGGGAUGACAGGUGUGAGCCACCAUACCUGGUGGGAUAAAUGUUUUCUUCACUGUUGAUCUGCUGACACAGAGAAGAGAGAGUCUCCCAACUGCUUCAUGUGUUCCUUUUGAAAGAAACUAGCUUGAAUGUGUUCACAGUCAGUGGGACUUAACCUCUGGUGAGGAAAACAGUUGGUAUCCAUCCCUUAAAGUUCUGAAGCCCUUGCCUGAGUCCACUCAAUAAACAGAAUGUUUUACAGCAGGACUAUUUAAAAGGUGGCCUGCCUUCCAGCAGAACCUGUAGCUUAUUAGAAAUGCAGAUUAUGAAAUCACAUGACUACUGUAGGUCUCAAAUUUCAGCCUGCAUAAAAAUCACCUGGAAGGCUUGUAAAAUGAAGAGUCUUAGGUUGCCCCCACAAAGAUUCAGCAGGUCUCGGAUAGGGCCCAAGAAUUUUCUUUUCUUUCCAGUUGCAAAGCUGUACUGCUAUUGCUGUUGUUCCUCAGACCACAUUUAGAACAGCUCUGUGAGAACAUGCCACUUUUUCUGCCUAUUAAUCUUCAUCUUAUCUGACAUAAAGCUCAGCUGCAAAUAAAAGAAACCCACCUGAAACGCACUUAAAUAACAACAGUGCAAUUUAGAGGUUUGAGGGUUUCAGCUGUAGCUCAAUUAUAUUGCCAACUACCUGUUUCUUUCCAAGUAAAUGACCUCUUUUUGAAUAUUGCUGAAAACUGCAAAGCUGUCAGGUCUGGUGUGGAUGUGUUUACUAAAGUGAUCACUACGCAAAUUUAUCUGUAACCAUAUCCAUAUAGCAUUUUUAGCAUAUUUUAGGCCUUCAGUGAGUAACAAAAACUGACCUCUGUCAUUCCUCCUUCUUUGAACAUGCUGUUGUCUCUACCCGAAAACAAGUAUUUAUCUACUCAUAUAUCCCCUCCUUGUAUCACAGUAACUCCCAAACGUCAAGAACCCUUAUGUGCUAGGUAGAGAAUGGAGAACAAAACAGCCAUAGUGCCUGCUUUAAAAAGCUAUAAUGGCUGGGUGUGGCGGCUCUCGCCUGUAAUCUCAACACUCUGGGAGGCUGAGGUGGGCAGAUCAUUUGAGGUCAGCAGUUCAAAACCAGCUUGGCCAACAUGGUGAAACCCCCAUCUCUAUUUAAAAAAUAAUAAUAAUAAAUAAAUAAAAAGCUUUAAUAACUUUCUACGUCCUACCCUUAUUCCCAUUCCCUAAACCUACUUAGGAACACUUGCUAGUACCAUCCUACCUCUUAUAUUAUGUACCCCAUUAUACUGUAUAUAUAAAGUAAAUAGAAAAGCAUACAUAAGUAUAAAGUAUAAUAGAUUCAGUGAAGUAGAAAGAGAUGACUGGGAGAAUGUGACAAUGUGGAUAUAAAGGCCACAGGGAUUUUGUAACUUAGAUCAGGAUCCUCUCAAGUGAUCUUAUUAGGAUACUCUGAAUUCGAAGUGUGAAACACACAGGGUAAUAAACGUUGGGAAAGCAUAAAAACUCAUAAAAGAAAUUGCAUUAUGUUUUAUUAAAUCAAAGUUUAAAAAUAUCUGAUUAUGCCUUGAAAAAUCAAUAACAUUGUAUUCUUUUUUAAGAAUACUCUUCUGUCUUGGGAUAGUUAACUCUAUUUACUGUAUUUUUCCACAUAAACAGAAAAGAAAGCCGCAGGGACAUGUAUUGGAGAUGUAUGCAGUUGAGUCAAUCCUCUGAAGAGGACAGAGUUGAUUUAUAACUCCAUUUGAUCCAUUUGCUUUACUGAUGGUCUUUUCUCUUUCAAUCCAGCAUGGUAAAGAUCUGUCAAAGAAAACAAAUGACUCAGAGUCCACGUGCCGUGUCGGCGUAUAGUUUAUCUUUUGUCCUUCUUGUUCUUCCCUUGUGCACAUC